rnacentral:lncRNA from 1 species
GGACUCUUUCGCGCGAGGGUAGGUGUGCAGACCGGCCAGGCGAGCCUCGCGUCCGGCAUCGCAAGCGCCGGCAGUUUCCUUCUUGGUUCUUGGGAUGGUGUUUUGCUUCUGCGCCCGCGCUGGUAGGAGCUAUGCGCCCUACCCGCCUACCUCGUGCACUUGUCCACGGUAGAUUUAAACCACACACGAAUUCGAAAAACAAAGUGAAACUACAUCCACGCCCAGUGGGAGAUGAGUUACCAAGCAUGUCCUGAAGAUGAAGAUACUCUCAGCCUAACGUCUCCAAGCAAAUAUUGAUUCAGCAGUAUCCCCAGGCAAAGCCACACCAUAUAUCAGUGAACAGAGAAACAACUGCCCUUCUCCGGGCCCCUGUCUGAGAAGCUGGAGCAUCAGCCCUGGAGCUCUCCGGAGCAGUUUCCUUGCUCACUGUCCCCAGCUGAACACAGGACCAGAGGGGAUACUGCCUGCUCAGGAAAGCCAAGAGGAGCCUGCUUCUCCUGAAAUGUAAAAAGUACACUGUGCAUAUGGAAAGCAUUAUUGUGUUUCACUGUGCAUCGCCAGAUUCUUCUUGCAAAACAUUGAAGCUUAGCUCAUAAUUUGGUGAUAAAAUAUUGAUUAUUUAUCCACAGCCGCAUGCAGAGGUCCAAAGCACGUAAACAGGAUACCCACCCUGCAUUAUCUUAUAUUUUAAGUCAAUAUGAAGAUGGACAUUCUACCCCUGAGACCAAUUUCGAUCAAAUACUUUUGUCAAUAAAAAGAUACUAAUGUC